CGUUGUCCGGAUUUAUUGGGCGUAAAGAUCUCGUAGGCGGCUCAGUAAGUCAGGUGUGAAAACUCCAGGCUCAACCUGGAGACGCCACCUGAUACUGCUGUGGCUAGAGUCCGGUAGGGGAGCAUGGAAUUCCUGGUGUAGCGGUGAAAUGCGCAGAUAUCAGGAGGAACACCAGUGGCGAAGGCGGUGCUCUGGGCCGGAACUGACGCUGAGGAGCGAAAGCGUGGGGAGCAAACAGG
rnacentral:rRNA from 1 species